GAUGAACGCUGGCGGCGUGCCUAAUACAUGCAAGUCGAGCGAACGGACGAGAAGCUUGCUUCUCUGAUGUUAGCGGCGGACGGGUGAGUAACACGUGGAUAACCUACCUAUAAGACUGGGAUAACUUCGGGAAACCGUAGCUAAUACCGGAUAAUAUUUUGAACCGCAUGGUUCAAAAGUGAAAGACGGUCUUGCUGUCACUUAUAGAUGGAUCCGCGCUGCAUUAGCUAGUUGGUAAGGUAACGGCUUACCAAGGCAACGAUGCAUAGCCGACCUGAGAGGGUGAUCGGCCACACUGGAACUGAGGCACGGUCCAGACUCCUACGGGAGGCAGCAGUAGGGAAUCUUCCGCAAUGGGCGAAAGCCUGACGGAGCAACGCCGCGUGAGUGGUGAAGGUCUUCGGAUCGUAAAACUCUGUUAUUAGGGAAGAACAUAUGUGUAAGUAACUGUGCACAUCUUGACGGUACCUAAUCAGAAAGCCACGGCUAACUACGUG
rnacentral:rRNA from 1 species